rnacentral:rRNA from 1 species
UAAGGAAUAUUGGUCAAUGGACGCAAGUCUGAACCAGCCAUGCCGCGUGAAGGAUGACGGCCCUCUGGGUUGUAAACUUCUUUUAUCUGGGACGAAAAAAGAUCAUUCUUGAUCACUUGACGGUACCAGAGGAAUAAGCACCGGCUAACUCCGUGCCAGCAGCCGCGGUAAUACGGAGGGUGCAAGCGUUAUCCGGAUUUACUGGGUUUAAAGGGUGCGUAGGUGGGUCUGUAAGUCAGUGGUGAAAUCUUCGAGCUUAACUCGGAAACUGCCAUUGAUACUAUAGAUCUUGAAUCAUCUGGAGGUGAGCGGAAUAUGUCAUGUAGCGGUGAAAUGCUUAGAUAUGACAUAGAACACCGAUUGCGAAGGCAGCUCACUACGGAUGUAUUGACACUGAGGCACGAAAGCGUGGGGAUCAAACAG